rnacentral:misc_RNA from 1 species
GAUGAAGAACGCAGCGAAAUGCGAUACGUAAUGUGAAUUGCAAAUUCAGUGAAUCAUCGAGUCUUUGAACGCACAUUGCGCCCCCUGGUAUUCCGGGGGGCAUGCCUGUCCGAGCGUCAUUGCUGCCCUCAAGCACGGCUUGUGUGUUGGGCCCCGUCCUCCGAUCCCGGGGGACGGGCCCGAAAGGCAGCGGCGGUACCGCGUCCGGUCCUCGAGCGUAUGGGGCUUUGUCACCCGCUCUGUAGGCCCGGCCGGCGCUUGCCGAUCAACCCAAAUUUUUAUCCAGGUUGACCUCGGAUCAGGUAGGGAUACCCGCUGAACUUAAGCAUAUCAAUAAGCGGAGGA